ACUGCCUUGAGAGCUGGCAAGUGAUCGGCCCAGUUGAAUGCACCGAGCAGCUCGAAUCCUUCCCUCACCAUCUCAGAAAGCUGAGCAGCAUUUUCAGAGCCAUCCUCGAACCUCCUGCCGAACACCGUCUGCAUGAUAUUGUUGAGCGAAGCUCGCUGGAGAAAGUCCCGGACUCGGACAAGGCCGUGGUUGUCUGCUGCAAAGCAAUCUGGCGUGGAGAGAACAGAUAGUUGGAGGCAAUCCUUCGCAGGUUACGCCAGUAAUCUCCAUAGGGAGCGAAGCCGAUUGCUCGUCCAAAGAGGAGCUGCUGAGCCGACUGCUUGAGGGGCCUGUCCGCGAACUCGGAACUGUUGAGCAGCUCUCGUGCUACUUCCGGCUUGCUGGUGAUGAUCAUCCUCGUGUUACCCAGGCUGAAGGCCAUGAGCUCCUUUGCAUGGUGCUUCUCGGCAAGCGCGGCCAACUUGCGAUGAGCUUGGCCUCCCAUCUCAGUCAAGACUCCAAGCACUGGCCAUCCUCGGGGUCCCGGGAUCGUCUGCUUCCUCUUCAGCGUCCUUCCCCAUGCAUUGCCGCCAGGAACAAACCAGGAAGCCAGGAUCGCCGAGACAGCAGCUAGAACAAAAAUGGCCACAGCAGCGACAAAUCGCCAUGCAUGAUCGUUGGCUUCAGCAGACAGAUGCCGGGAGCAAAAAGGCAGAGUGAGGAUCCACCAGUCGAAUCCAGAAGCCGACUCCAUGAUCAGAGCACUCACUUGGAGAGAAAGAAGAGAACCCGAGGCAGGAGACUGAGAUAUGAAAGCUCUCGCGGCAUGGGUCUUAUAUAGUGACCAAGGAGGAGAUUACUUUGCGACUGGUGGCUCAAGGGGAGUGCUCCAAAUUGGUAAUUACUCCGAGAUUACGCACUGUGGAUGGGCUUGAAUUCGCUUGUACUGUACACGAGCGCAACAACAACUAGAGAGGCUCAUCGCAUCUCGGAGCCAAGGACUGGGGGAGCCUCUCGCCUCAUUCAUUGAGGAGAUGAAGUUCAGAUGUCCAUCUGAACCGAAUACAACUGGGAGGAGUUACUUAAAGCCAAGAGCUUAAAGUUUCGUUCUUACAAUUUUUCAUACAAAAGCUGCAUACCAUCACCUUGGCGUUGCGAGAGCUCUCAGAGGGAUGGCGAAGCCGUUUACCUUUCAGUCUUAGAGGAGCUGGCGGAUGCAAGCGGAAAGUCUCCUUGACCACGGCUUUGAGGGUUGAUUUCUUAUUAGCUCCGAGAGUGCCCACUCCAUGGCGAUGGCCGCCGUGUCAGUUCCUCCGGCAAACAAUCGUUAUCAAAGUCAUCCAGUGACAGCAUCACGUCGAUCAGAUCUGGAGCUUGAUUGUCAACUUUGUCGAGAGUGAUCCUUUGCAGCACCUUGUCCAGUUUCUUGUGUGCUGCUUUCAUGGCUCCAACUGCGUUUUGGUAAUCCAGCCAGCCCAAGAAGGGCCCAAGACGAAAGCUCCCAUAAAAUCCACUGCCUCUCGCACCAGCUCCACAAACAGUGAGUCCUCAAAUCUCUCGUUGCCAUAUGAAACAUAGAAAACAUGCUUGGCAACUGAGAUCUUUGGCCUUGAUGGAAAAUGGAUGUCAUAAAUGGAGAGAAAAGCUUUUGCUGCAUCUGGGGAGGACACCACAAUGGUUGGGACUACACCAAGUUUGAUACUCAUGAUGGGACCAAAUCUUUCAGAGAGUUUGGACAGGGAUUUGUAAGAGUGAGUUCUCAGCAAAUGCAAAUGCCCAAUAAGUGGAAGUCCAUUUGGUCCUGGUGGGA